rnacentral:misc_RNA from 1 species
UACGUGGGGUCCUAGCGUUAUCCGGAAUCAUUGGGCGUAAAGAGCUCGUAGGCGGUUCAGCAAGUCGGCUGUGAAAGUCCGAGGCUCAACCUCGGAAUUGCAGUCGAUACUGCUGUGACUCGAGUCCGGUAGAGGCGAGUGGAAUUCCCGGUGUAGUGGUGAAAUGCGCAGAUAUCGAGAGGAGCACCAGUAGCGAAGGCGGUUCUCUGGGCUGGCACUGACGCUGAGGAGCGAAAGCGUGGGGAGCAAACAGG